rnacentral:rRNA from 1 species
UACGGGGGGAGCAAGCGUUGUUCGGAUUUACUGGGCGUAAAGAGCUCGUAGGUGGUUUGUCGCGUUGUUCGUGAAAACUCACAACUCAAUUGUGGGCGUGCGGGCGAUACGGGCAGACUGGAGUACUGCAGGGGAGACUGGAAUUCCUGGUGUAGCGGUGGAAUGCGCAGAUAUCAGGAGGAACACCGGUGGCGAAGGCGGGUCUCUGGGCCGAUUCUGACACUGAGGAGCGAAAGCGUGGGGAGCGAACAGG